AAAGUUGUUGCAGUUAAAAAGCUCGUAGUUGGAUUUCGGGACGGCACGGUCGGUCCGCCGCAAGGUGUGUCACUGGCCGGGCUGUUCUUCCUCGCAAAGACUGCGUGUGCUCUUAGCUGAGUGUGCGCAGGACUUGCGACGUUUACUUUGAAAAAAUUAGAGUGUUCAAAGCAGGCCAUCGCUUGAAUACAUAAGCAUGGAAUAAUGGAAUAGGACUUUGGUUCUAUUUUGUUGGUUUCUGGAACCGAAGUAAUGAUUAAGAGGGACAGUUGGGGGCAUUCGUAUUUCGUUGUCAGAGGUGAAAUUCUUGGAUUUACGAAAGACGAACUACUGCGAAAGCAUUUGCCAAGAAUGUUUUCAUUAAUCAAGAACGAAAGUUAGAGGAUCGAAGACGAUCAGAUACCGUCCUAGUUCUAACCAUAAACGAUGCCGACUAGGGAUCAGAGAGUGUUAUUGGAUGACCUCUUUGGCACCUUAUGGGAAACCAAAGUUUUUGGGUUCCG
rnacentral:rRNA from 1 species